AUGGAGCACUACGAGCGCCACUGCCCGCCCGCGCCCCGCCGCCUCAACUGCCUCAUCCCCCUACCCGCCGGCUACCUGGUGCCCAUCAGGUGGCCGAGGAGCCGGGACGAGGUGUGGAGGGCAAAUCUACCCCACACGCACCUUGCCUCGGAGAAGUCAGCCCAGGGGUGGAUGGUGGAGAACGGCGACAAGAUCAGCUUCCCUGGUGUGGGCACCCGCUUUCACCCCGGCGCCCACAAGUACAUUGUGCACCUUGCACAGAUGCUGGAGUUUCCUUAUGGCAAGCUCAACAACCAAGGCAACAUCAGGAAUGUGCUCGAUAUUGGCUGCGGGGUUGCUACCUUCGGGGCCUACCUUCUUGAUCUAGAUAUAAUCGCAAUGUCAAUUGCUCCCAACGAUGUGCAUGAGAACCAAAUUCAGUUCGCCCUUGAGAGGGGGAUACCAUCAACCCUUGGCGUGCUGGCUACAAGGAGGCUGCCAUAUCCGAGCCGCUCAUUCGAGCUGGCGCAUUGCUCCCGUUGUCGAAUUGACUGGUUGCAGAGGGGUGGGCUCUUGCUGCUGGAAGUGGAUAGGCUUUUGAGGCCUGGAGGCUACUUUGUUUAUUCUUCACCAGAGGCUUAUGCUCCCGAUCCAUUGAACAGGAAGAUAUGGAGGCAGAUGAGCAAUCUCGCUCGGAGGAUGUGUUGGAGGAUUGCUUCAAGGAAGGACCAGACAGUGAUAUGGGUCAAACCAUUGGCAAAUUGGUGCUAUAUGAAGAGAUUGCCUGGAGCACUUCCUCCCAUGUGUGGCCAUGGUGAUGACCCAGAUGCUGCUUGGAAUGUCCUCAUGAAAGCAUGCAUAACUCCCUACUCCAAGAGAGUGAACAAGUUUAAAGGAAGCGAACUGCUUCCCUGGCCACAAAGGCUCACAGCACCACCCCCUCGCCUGGAAGAGAUCGGAAUCAGUUCAAAGAAUUUUUCUGAAGACAGCGAAAUUUGGCAUUCUAGAGUUGUUCUCUACUGGAAACUUAUGAAAACUGAGAUACAGAAGGAUUCCUUUAGGAAUGUUAUGGAUAUGAAUGCUAACCUUGGUGGGUUUGCAGCAUCACUGAGGAAAAAGGAUGUCUGGGUAAUGAAUGUAGUCCCUUUCAUGGAAUCUGGAAAACUGAAGAUCAUAUAUGAUCGUGGUUUAAUUGGGACAAUCCAUAAUUGGUGCGAGUCAUUCUCGACCUACCCUCGUACCUACGACCUCCUUCACGCCUGGCUGCUGUUCUCUGAGAUGGUAAAUGAGGGCUGCAGCCUGGAGGAUCUGCUGAUCGAGAUGGACCGCAUCAUGAGGCCUCAUGGGUACGCCAUUAUCAGAGACAAAGCUUCUGUGGUAAACUACAUCAAGAAGCUUCUACCGGCGCUGAGAUGGGAUGACUGGUCCUCUGAGAUGAAACCGAAGAAUGACGCACUUUCGUCAGGUGACGAUGAAAGAGUCCUGAUCGUGAGGAAAAAGCUAUGGGAUCAGGCACUGCAGCCUUUGUAG
rnacentral:rRNA from 1 species